AUUGAACGCUGGCGGCAGGCUUAACACAUGCAAGUCGAGCGAGCGGCGGACGGGUGAGUAACGUCUGAGCAACUGCCUGAUGGAGGGGGAAAACUACUGGAAACGGUAGCUAAUACCGCAUACCAUCAGAUGUGCCCAGAUGGGAUGAGCUAGUAGGUGGGGUAAUGGCUCACCUAGGCGACGAUCCCUAGCUGGUCUGAGAGGAUGACCAGCCAAACGGGAACUGAGACACGGUCCAGACUCCUACGGGAGGCAGCAGUGGGGAAUAUUGCACAAUGGGCGCAAGCCUGAUGCAGCAAUGACGCGUGUGUGAAGAAGGCCUUCGGGGUGGAAAGCACUUUCAGCGAGGAGGCGUUACUCGCAGAAGAAGCACCGGCUAACUCCGUGCCAGCAGCCGCGGUAAUUC
rnacentral:rRNA from 1 species